AAAUUUCGAUGCUAAAUAUAAUUGAAACAAACUUAAGUCCAGCAUACAAUUUGAUUGUUAAUGAUGAUGAUGAUAUGCAAUACAAUCAAGCAUAUGCUACAGCACAUUCAUUUGAGCAAGACUAUGCAAAAAUAGAAGACUGAUAAAAUUGAUGAAAGUUCAAACAAACUUCUUACUUAUGUGAUUGAGAAUUCAGCCUUGAUGCAGUAA